CGCUGGGUCGCUCAAAGCUCUCGGUAGGAGCCGUGAGCCACUCUGGAGUCCGCGUGACGCUAGAUGACGGCUCUCGGUGGCUCGUCCACAAAGGAAAAAAUGCUGGACUCUCCUCUCAGACGGUGGUGACCAGCGCUCACCACAUGGGGCCGCGGUGGAGGGUUGUUCAAACGAAAGAUUUCGCUGGCCGAAAGACAGUUGAUGACUUUGUGAAGACUGGAGGCUCCAGUUACAAUGUGCUGCGUGAUAACUGCCACCAGGGGGUCAAUCGCAUGAUGAGACAGUGAUCGCAAAGACACGACCUCCUCCUCA